UGGCUCAGAUUGAACGCUGGCGGAAUGCUUUACACAUGCAAGUCGAACGGCAGCGACGGGGCAACCGUGGUGGCGAGUGGCGAACGGGUGAGUAAUACAUCGGAACGUCGCCCAAUCGGUGGGGAUAACGUAGCGAAAGUUACGCUAAUACCGCAUACGAUCUACGGAUGAAAGCGGGGGAUCGCAAGACCUCGCGCGAAUGGAGCGGCCGAUGUCAGAUUAGGUAGUUGGUGGGGUAAAGGCUCACCAAGCCAAUGAUCUGUAGCUGGUCUGAGAGGACGACCAGCCACACUGGAACUGAGACACGGUCCAGACUCCUACGGGAGGCAGCAGUGGGGAAUUUUGGACAAUGGGCGCAAGCCUGAUCCAGCCAUUCCGCGUGCAGGAUGAAGGCCUUCGGGUUGUAAACUGCUUUUGUACGGAACGAAACGGUCUGCCCUAAUACGGCGGGCUAAUGACGGUACCGUAAGAAUAAGCACCGGCUAACUACGUG
rnacentral:rRNA from 1 species